CGAAGGAUGCAAGCGUUAUCCGGAUUCAUUGGGUUUAAAGGGUGCGUAGGCGGCCCGGUAAGUCAGUGGUGAAAUCUCCUUGCUUAACAAGGAAACUGCCAUUGAUACUGUCGGGCUUGAGUACAGUUGCUGUGGGCGGAAUAUGACAUGUAGUGGUGAAAUACAUAGGGAUGUCAUAGAACACCGAUUGCGAAGGCAGCUCACAAAACUGUAACUGACGCUGAGGCACGAAAGUGCGGGGAUCAAACAGGAUUAGAUACCCUGGUAGUCCGCACCGUAAACGAUGAUUACUCGCUGCUAGGGGGCAACCUUUAGUGGCUUAGCGAAAGCGAUAAGUAAUCCACCUGGGGAGUACGCCGGCAACGGUG
rnacentral:rRNA from 1 species